ACCGAGGACCCCAGCAGUGAGUCCAGCUGCUUCGGUGUUGUCAGAGUCUGCCAGAGGUGAGUGGAACUAAACUUAAUCUUUUAAAUUAAAUGUUUUAUCAUGUUUCAUGCAUCAUGAUUAUGCAAUAGGAUGAUUGCAUUAGUAUUCACGAAUAUGCCGCAUUGCAUCGAUUGUUGUUGAUGUGGGUGAAUGUUGGAUGACCCAAUUAGUCCAUGACAGGAAGACCAGGACCCCAUUCUACGGCCUGGCACGAUUGU
rnacentral:lncRNA from 1 species